GUGUUCACUUCAGCAGCACAUAUACUAAAGUUGGAACGAUACAGAGAAGAUUAGCACGGCCCCAGCACAAGGAUGACACACAAAUUCGUGAAGCGUUCCAUAUUUUU
rnacentral:snRNA from 1 species